GUCUCCCCCUCCCAUUUGGCGCGCCCUAAGCACGCCGGGAAACUGGAAGACCGAGAAGGGAAAAGCGGCAUCCCAGCAGCCUACGCGUUGGGAGGAUUAUCUGACCAGUUUUUCCUUUUUUAAAUAAAUCAAUUGCUAAGUUCCUGUUCAUCCAGAAAGAGGCACUGCUCAGCAAGUUGAGGAAUCUAUGAUGAAAGUAGUUCUUUUCUUGCUUCCAUGCUACUGGUUCUGUAGAAAAUCAGCCUAUUCAAAAGAUUUUUGCCCUUGAUGAAGUCUCCAGCCCUCAAGAUUUAACUGCAAUAUAACUUAGAAGGAGUGAGAAGAUCAAAAAAGUAACUGCAAUAUAACAUUAACUUGGAUUUUAAGAUUAUCAACUCUUAGGUAGACUGGAGAAACACCUUUUCCUCUGGCCUUUAAAGCACAAUAAACUUAUCCAGCAAGGAUGGCGACUAA
rnacentral:lncRNA from 1 species